CACAAGUUUAUCCAAGCGACGAUGGAAGAGUGCGAAAAGUAGAAGUUCGUGUUCCGUCCUCAAAGAACACAUAUACAAGACCAAUUAAUGAACUUGUGUUAUUGUUAGAAUCUGAAAUUUGAAGAACCUUUGAUAAUGCGAAAAUAAUUACAGUAGGCGAAAUUGUUAAAAUACUUAUGUGGAUGAUAAUAUGUGUUUUUUGAAUUCAUAUGAUUUAACUGAUUAGAGUAUAUUAUGCCUUGAUUCAUAAUUUGCAUUCUUUAUCGUUAGGGUGAUGUGUUGCGACACAUCAGGCGAGGAGUGUAAUGUCUUUAACAUUGUUGUUUAAUGAGUUUUGGAAGUGAGCCCUCUUUGGGGCGCUUUCAGUUCAACUAGUUAAAACGGUAGUUAUGGUACCUUAUGUUCUGAGCUGGAUAGCCAGUGAUCUUGGAUAUAGCCAGUAAUCUUGGAUACGUCUUGAGAGGACAGCACAGUUUAUUUACCAAUAAAUGUUCAACGAAUGAAAAGUGAACACGGUUAUACGACUGGAUUUCAAUAUUGUCUUUUAUUGUCGGGCCAGUACAAUAAUUAU